rnacentral:rRNA from 1 species
UGCGCAGGCGGCUUCGCAAGUCAGGCGUGAAAUCCCCGAGCUUAACUUGGGAAUUGCGUUUGAAACUACGAGGCUGGAGUGUGGCAGAGGGAGGUGGAAUUCCACGUGUAGCGGUGAAAUGCGUAGAUAUGUGGAGGAACACCGAUGGCGAAGGCAGCCUCCUGGGCCAACACUGACGCUCAUGCACGAAAGCGUGGGGAGCAAACAGGAUUAGAUACCCUGGUAGUCCACGCCCUAAACUAUGUCUACUAGUUGUUGGGGGAGUUAAAUCCCUUAGUAACGCAGCUAACGCGAGAAGUAGACCGCCUGGGGAGUACGGUCGCAAGAUUAAA